UUUAAUGAGGUGUUCUAUUGCAUAUUGCAUUUUGGUUGCAAAGGAGAUUAGUUAUCCGUUAAUU
rnacentral:tRNA from 1 species